GAUCUAAAAGAGAAGAAGGAAGUUGUUGAAGAAACAGAAAAUGGCAGAGAUGCACCGGCCAACGGCAAUGCUAACGAGGAAAAUGGAGAGCAGGAGGCUGACAACGAAGUAGAUGAAGAGGAAGAAGAAGGUGGUGAGGAAGAGGACGAGGAAGAAGAGGGUGAGGAAGAGGAUGGUGAUGAAGAUGAUGAAGCUGAGGGAGCCACAGGCAAACGGGCAGCUGAGGAUGAUGAGGAUGACGACGUUGAUCCCAAGAAGCAGAAAACCGAUGAAGAUGACUAGGCAGCAAAUUUAUUAUUUUUUUUUAAAUAAGGAGGAAAACAAACCAACAAAAAAAGGCCAGCGCAUCCUCUUUACCCCUGGGACCCCCUUCCCUCCCGUUACAGCCCUUUUUACCCUCCCCGACACACACACAGCCCUUCCUCCCCCCUCUGCCAUGGUCAUCCUCACCAAGUAGAGUGAACCCCAGCCCCCCGGCGCGGCGCUGCCACUCAAUGACCAUAAGAAAUGAUUCGCCUGUUAGCGGGGAGAGAACCCCCCUUUCCCAUAGACCCUCCCCCCAAGCACCAAAACUUCAAGGCCCUGCUUUCUUUCUUAAAAGUACUUUAAAGGAGAAUUUGUUUGUAUUUUUUAUUUACAUUUUAUAUUUUUGUACAUAUUGUUAGGAGGUCCGCCAUUUUUAAGUGAUCUCGGAUUGACCAAAAGGGGGGCUUUGAAGUGUAUAUCUCUCUUGUUACCUAUCUCUGACUUUACUUGUGGUGUGACCAGGCCCAAACCAUUAUCUCAAAGGAGAAUAAAACAAAACCUUGUAAAAAAAAUUAAAAAAGA
rnacentral:lncRNA from 14 species